GUUCCUUUGGUCGUCGGCUCGUCGCCCUGAGCCCCUGAGCAGUUCUUCCCCAAAUCUUCCAAAACCUAACCCUCAACCCCUACCACACCGCCGCCGCCACCACCAACCACUCGACCGCAGCGCCGGCUUCGUCCCCAAACACAUCGCCGCCGACCGCCUAGUCGUCGCCGAGCACCCUUCUCUACCAAGGAAACCCUUCGUCGCUUCGUUCCCAUCCCCCGCGCACCCAGCGCCUGCUUCCUCCAGAGGAAAGCCGCCGACCGCCCUCCAUCCCCACCACAACAACGACCUCCUCCACAGGUUUCCUCCGCCGAGCAGGCCUCCUCCUCCUCAAGCUUUCUCCCCCGAGCAGGGCCUCCUCCUCCACGAGCAUCCUUCCCUGAGCACUAAGUUGGGUCGCCUCCUGUUUCCCUCACCCGAGCAGCGGGCCUUCCUGUACGGCCCCUCUCUCGAGAAGCUCCACCUCCUCUACAUCCUCCCCCAGGUGCAGCGCCGCCUCCUUGCUCACGGAGAGCACUUGGCCGCAAAUGGAUGCUUCAACUACAUACUAAAUCAGUGAAUCCCAGUAGGGGUACUACAUGCAAGCUUUGGGAAAUUAAGUUUCAAGGUCGUGCUGCAAAUAUAGCUAGAGAACUUCUUUCUGUAUAUUUUUUUUUCUGCAAAUGUAGACUGAAAGUGAAGUAACGCUUCUAGAGUUUAAUAGUUUUAACUAGUGAAUGUGUUAGUUCUAUGAAAAUAGAUAUAUGGGGUUUGAUCUGGAAUUUUCUUCCAUAAUUUUCUAUUGCCAGUUUGCCACUGCUCCCAGUCAUGUGAUUCUGGAAUUUAAUGAUCAGUAGUUGUCUAUCAUAGUAGAAAUCCCUUCAAUUGUUGCAACCUUUAUUAUUGAAUUGAAAAACAUAUGUCUGAUAAUUUAUUUUUCUAGAGUAAAAUGAGAGCAAUUGGUUUGUACCGUCGCCCCUACUGGAAAUUCCAUGGCAUCAUGACUUACUGAAUUGCCAGAUCCCCUGUUCUUAAAACUUUUUUUAUUUAGCUUAACACUUAAGAACAAAUUCAUCCAUAGCUACGUUCACAGAGAUGGUAAAUAGCUUAAGAUGUGCUUGUGGUUCAGAUUUCAGAAAAGGCCUACUUGCAGUGCCACGUGCAAGUAAUAUAACCCUGGUAGUACAGUACCUUGUCAUGUAGGGCCACGAGUAAUAUAAGACUAUUGUUUUGUUGCUGGUAAUUAGAACAUUUGGAUGCUCGUUGUUUAGGUUCUGCGUCUAGUUUGGUAGUAGUGCUGCUGUGUGUGGCUUAGUUUCUGAUGUUUUGAGGUACCCCUGGAGGGGGACGAACUUGAGACAUGUGAUGUUUUCAGUAAUGGAAAUUGGGAGCUAUGCUCCUAAGUAGAUUUUUUUUUGAAGAAUUGGGUCGUGGGGCUAGCUGAGUACCAUGCUCUUUUCUCCUAUAUGUAAUUCUUACAAACUGUUCCCUAAUUUUCAUUUGAUGCUUUCACUGAAAUAAUAUUUUGGAUUUUUUGUUUUGUGAGCAGUAUGCCUGUUGUUUGUCCUCUCCACCAAGCAGCGUCGACUACUCCAUACAAGCACAUAAGCUUAUGCUCUUCUGAUUAUAUAUUUACCAAUGACUAUUAUGGUUGAUAGCUUAAAAGUCUUUGCUUCUAUAUAUGCAGCUGAGAGUGACUUAUAAGUUCAUGGCAAAACCAGCAACACGAGUACGCAACCACAAGCAAGCUGAGGAGUUACCUCUGAGUUGAUACAUUUUACUGUCUCGAGAUUCUUUUGGCAUCCCUGAACAGUUUCCGCUGAUCCAAAUUAUCAUCCCUCAUGUUAUGGGCCUCAAAGAGCAGCUGAAAGACUAAUUUAAGGUGCAAGUGGAUAAGUCUAGCAAAUGCAGUAAUGUGACCACAAGCAAGUUGAGGAGGUUUCUCAAGAUACACAAGUUGAUGGAGGUUUGGAAGAUCUACAAGUUGCUCUGGAGGUUUUGAAGGUCUGACAAGUUGCUGGAGUGAUGAUAUAUAUGUAAUAUGUCUUGUUUGUUGAACCUCCAGAUAUUGACAAGUUUUACACUGCUCAUUUUGGUGGUUGUUUCAGCAGACAAGCCAUUGUAUGCCAAUUUUGGUUGCGUGGCAUGAUUUCUUUACCUUAAACAUAUGUACUUUGCAUUUUGAGGCAUAUAAUGUCUAUAUAUGUACGGUUCAUGCAUGUGUUAAAAACAUAUGUUUUUCGUC